rnacentral:lncRNA from 1 species
AUGAACUACCUGGCCAUUUCAUUGAAAUGCAAAAGAAAUGCAGCUUGCCUCCGCGUAAUCUACAUGUGCCCUGGAGAUCUCUUGCUGCAUUUCAUGCUAAGUCCCGGAUCUGGCGGUGGCUUUGGCUUUAAGUUGGUUGUGAGCUUCACUGGCAGGGUGUGUUCAAGGGCCCCAGCCUUACCGACCUUGAAGAGGAGCCUUCUUGUCUUGGAGAUCUUCUGUGAAAGCAGGCGCAGAGGUGGCUGUGGAGGUAGCUAACGAAUGCAGUGUCAAGAAGGCUGUCCCUGGCACAGAGAGAAAAAGGCAGAGGAGUCCAGGUGAAGAAGGCAAAGAAACAUGGUUUCAGGCUUUGGAAGUGCGAUUUUUUGGUGGACAUGUUCAUGUGAGAGGGGCUGCUUCAUGAUGGAAGAUACUCGUUCUGUCCAAAAUGUGGUCUGCCAAGGAUUUUGUUCCUUUAAGCAUUUACUAGCAAUACGACAUUUUUAGACAACUUUGUGUAACUCUUAGAAGUAACUCCGUGUUUAUGCUUGUGUGGAAUUGGUGGUGUUACACUGACUUGGGUCUUACAACUCUCGUAGUUUGCAUUCAGAAUGGGCACACAGGUGCCAGGGGGAGAGGAAGGAUGUUACAACAUAGGACGUUGGAAGGAAGAAAAUUAACCCCUCCCCUGGCAGUUUGGUAAGAGGCAAUAGCAUGUGGAGAGAUGCGUAGAAGAUGAGUAAAAGCUACUCAUGUAGUAAAAGGCCCAGGAAAGGCAUCUGAGCAAUGCUGUUCCCUAAGCAAAUCAUAUGCACGCUGAAUCUAACUUUUUAUGAGAUAUAUCUCAUUUAAUCACUGCAGCUCAGACAAAAUGAGAACUAGCUGGUUGGUUAGAUUCUUAUAAGGUCAGCAGAUUAGGGAGGGGAAGAUGAUGUAAAACAUACGUUUUGGAAUAAUUCUUGUUUUAUGUGAUAUCCUAAAAAAAAGGAAAACAAAUAACAUAUUGCAUCAAAAAUACCCAUGGAAAAUGCUGUAAAGCAGAACUUCAAAGCUUUAGCUUCUGACUGCCUUUCUUAUAUGUGUUAAAUUUAAGGCAAGCCAGUAUGUCGUAUGUCAAAUGUGAAAACAGAGCUUCUGAAGCACUUUAUGAAUAUAAAUAAAUAUAAAUCUGAAUAUAAAACUCA